rnacentral:rRNA from 1 species
UACAGAGGGUGCAAGCGUUGUUCGGAAUUACUGGGCGUAAAGGGCUUGUAGGUGGCCAACUAAGUCAGACGUGAAAUCCCUCAGCUUAACUGGGGAACUGCUUCUGAUACUGGAUGGCUUGAGUUUGGGAGAGGGAUGCGGAAUUCCAGGUGUAGCGGUGAAAUGCGUAGAAAUCUGGAGGAACACCGGUGGCGAAGGCGGCAGCCUGGACCAACACUGACACUGAAAAGCGAAAGCCAGGGGAGCAAACGGG